rnacentral:rRNA from 1 species
GUCCCUAUCUGCUGUGGGCGCUGGAAGUUUGAGGGAGCCUGCUCCUAGUACGAGAGGACCGGAGUGGACACACCUCUGGUGUACCUGUUGUCACGCCAGUGGCAUUGCAGGGUAGCUAAGUGUGGAAGAGAUAACCGCUGAAGGCAUCUAAGCGGGAAACUCGUCUCAAGAUAAGACUUCCCGGGGGCUAGACCCCCCUAAAGGGUCGUUCAAGACCAGGACGUUGAUAGGCUGGGUGUGGAAGCGCAGUAAUGUGCGAAGCUAACCAGUACUAAUUGCCCGUGCGGCUUGACUCUAUAACUCUG